rnacentral:rRNA from 1 species
CCUACGGGAGGCAGCAGUGGGGAAUAUUGCACAAUGGGGGAAACCCUGAUGCAGCGACGCCGCGUGAGUGAGGAAGUAUUUCGGUACGUAAAGCUCUAUCAGCAGGGAAGAAAAUGACGGUACCUGACUAAGAAGCCCCGGGUAACUACGUGCCAGCAGCCGCGGUAAUACGUAGGGGGCAAGCGUUAUCCGGAUUUACUGGGUGUAAAGGGAGCGUAGACGGCAGCGCAAGUCUGGAGUGAAAUCCCAUGGCUUAACCAUGGAACGGCUUUGGAAACUGUGCAGCGAGAGUGCAGGAGAGGUAAGCGGAAUGCCUAGUGUAGCGGUGAAAUGCGUAGAUAUUAGGAGGAACACCAGUGGCGAAGGCGGCUUACUGGACUGUAACUGACGUUGAGGCUCGAAAGCGUGGGGAGCAAACAGGAUUAGAUACCCGUGUAGUC